AGUGAACGCUGGCGGUAGGCCUAACACAUGCCAGUCGAACGGCAGCACAGUAAGAGCUUGCUCUUACGGGUGGCGAGUGGCGGACGGGUGAGGCAUACAUCGGAAUCUACUUUUUCGUGGGGGAUAACGUAGGGAAACUUACGCUAAUACCGCAUACGACCUACGGGUGAAAGCAGAGGAUCUUCGGACCUUGCGCGAUUGUAUGAGCCGAUGUCGGAUUAGCUAGUUGGCGGGGUAAAGGCCCACCAAGGCGACGAUCCGUAGCUGGUCUGAGAGGAUGAUCAGCCACACUGGAACUGAGACACGGUCCAGACUCCUACGGGAGGCAGCAGUGGGGAAUAUUGGACAAUGGGCGCAAGCCUGAUCCAGCCAUACCGCGUGGGUGAAGAAGGCCUUCGGGUUGUAAAGCCCUUUUGUUGGGAAAGAAAAGCAGCAGGUUAAUACCCCGCUGUUCUGACGGUACCCAAAGAAUAAGCACCGGCUAACUUCGUG
rnacentral:rRNA from 1 species